rnacentral:rRNA from 1 species
ACGGGUGCAUAAUGCGUAGGAAUCUGCCCUAAAGUGGGGGAUAACCCGGGGAAACUCGGGCUAAUACCGCAUAAUCUCUUCGGAGUAAAGGAGGGGACCCUUCGGGGCCUUUCGCUUUAGGAUGAGCCUACGUCGGAUUAGCUAGUUGGUGAGGUAAUGGCUCACCAAGGCAACGAUCCGUAGCUGGUCUGAGAGGACGACCAGCCACACUGGGACUGAGAUACGGCCCAGACUCCUACGGGAGGCAGCAGUGGGGAAUAUUGGACAAUGGGGGCAACCCUGAUCCAGCAAUGCCGCGUGUGUGAAGAAGGCCUUCGGGUUGUAAAGCACUUUUAGUGGGGAAGAAAGGUUCGUGGCUAAUAUCCACGGAAUUUGACGUUACUCACAGAAAAAGCACCGGCUAACUCUGUGCCAGCAGCCGCGGUAAUACAGAGGGUGCAAGCGUUAAUCGGAAUUACUGGGCGUAAAGCGUGCGUAGGUGGACGCAUAAGUCGAUUGUGAAAUCCCCGGGCUUAACCUGGGAACUGCAUUCGAUACUGUGUGUCUUGAGUAUGGUAGAGGAAAGUGGAAUUCUCGGU